GACAUACUACCUCCGUUCCAAAUUACUCUGUCGCUGAAAUGGAUGUAUCUAGAACUAAAAUACAUCUAGAUACAUCCAUACGUGCGACAAGUAAUUCGGAACGUUGGGAGUACAUU
rfam:Triticum aestivum genome assembly, contig: Triticum_aestivum_CS42_TGACv1_scaffold_162100_2DL